GGCCAGACUCCUACGGGAGGCAGCAGUGGGGAAUAUUGGGCAAUGGGCGCAAGCCUGACCCAGCAACGCCGCGUGAAGGAAGAAGGCUUUCGGGUUGUAAACUUCUUUUAAGAGGGAAGAGUAGAAGACGGUACCUCUUGAAUAAGCCACGGCUAACUACGUGCCAGCAGCCGCGGUAAUACGUAGGUGGCGAGCGUUGUCCGGAAUUACUGGGUGUAAAGGGAGCGUAGGCGGGAAUGCAAGUUGAAUGUGAAAUCUAUCGGCUCAACCGAUAGCUGCGUUCAAAACUGUGUUUCUUGAGUGAAGUAGAGGCAGGCGGAAUUCCUAGUGUAGCGGUGAAAUGCGUAGAUAUUAGGAGGAACACCAGUGGCGAAGGCGGCCUGCUGGGCUUUUACUGACGCUGAGGCUCGAAAGCGUGGGUAGCAAACAGGAUUAGAUACCCUAGUA
rnacentral:rRNA from 1 species